rnacentral:rRNA from 1 species
AGAGUUUGAUCCUGGCUCAGAUUGAACGCUGGCGGCAUGCUUUACACAUGCAAGUCGAGCGGCAGCGCGGGGGCAACCCUGGCGGCGAGCGGCGAACGGGUGAGGAAUACAUCGGAACGUGUCCCGGAGUGGGGGAUAACGCCGCGAAAGCGGCGCUAAUACCGCAUAUGCUCUGAGGAGGAAAGUGGGGGACCUGCAAGGGCCUCAUGCUCUGGGAGCGGCCGAUGUCCGAUUAGCUAGUUGGUGGGGUAAUGGCCUACCAAGGCGACGAUCGGUAGCUGGUCUGAGAGGAUGAUCAGCCACACUGGGACUGAGACACGGCCCAGACUCCUACGGGAGGCAGCAGUGGGGAAUUUUGGACAAUGGGGGCAACCCUGAUCCAGCCAUGCCGCGUGCGGGAAGAAGGCCUUCGGGUUGUAAACCGCUUUUAGUCGGGAAGAAAAGGUUAUCCCUAAUAAGGAUGGCUCUUGACGGUACCGGCGGAAUAAGCACCGGCUAACUACGUGCCAGCAGCCGCGGUAAUACGUAGGGUGCGAGCGUUAAUCGGAAUUACUGGGCGUAAAGCGUGCGCAGGCGGUUCGUUAAGUUCGUCGUGAAAGCCCCGGGCUCAACCUGGGAACUGCGAUGGAAACUGGCGGGCUGGAGUCUGGCAGAGGGGGGUGGAAUUCCGCGUGUAGCAGUGAAAUGCGUAGAGAUGCGGAGGAACACCGAUGGCGAAGGCAGCCCCCUGGGCCAAGACUGACGCUCAGGCACGAAAGCGUGGGGAGCAAACAGGAUUAGAUACCCUAGUAGUCC